GGAGCGGCGCAGGGGGAAGCCCCGGCCCGGCCCGGCCCGCGGUGCCGGUGCCGCAGGCUCGCGCAGGGCAGAGCCCGGCCGCUGGGGCCCUGAGCUCGCUGCGGAUCCGGUGCUCGCCCGGGGCCCGAGACACGCGCGACCGGUGAACCCCGGCAAGACAGUGGCGCCCUGGGAGCCCCCGGAAGCAGAGGCCGGAGGAGCCCGGCCGGGGGCGCGGGCUGAGCCCGGCCUGGACUCCGCGGCUAGCAGCCGGCGUCACACGGCCCAAGGGCCGAUCGUGCAGCACCGCCCAGGGGACACACGUAACAACUCUGCCCUGAUCCAAGCCGGGGACGUAGUUUGAAGAGCAGGGAGAGGUUUUCUCCGUUCCCCUGCCCUUCUUGGGAGAUCAGUCACGCCCUCUGCCCACACGGCGAAGCGUCUGGCUUACGCACCCCAGGCACGAAUACACAGACGUGGAUGCAAACAUCGGCCCCUGCCCGCAUCACCCCUACGGAGCCCCCCUUGCUCUGGGCCCAGUCCGUGUGCCUGGGAGGGUGGAGGAGUGCCAUGAGGCAGGGAAGGAGUGGAGAUGGGCAGCGUCCAUCUCUACUGGAGUUAGGCACCGUCUGGGGCUGACGGUAAGUUGUUUGGCUGCCUCACUCUAGUGCGGGGGCAGGGGAAAUACACAGGAGUCACCAGGAUAGUUGCGCUGCCGUCUGCCCAGGCACGAAGCCCCUUCCCAACAGGCCCUGGAGCGAUCGAUAUCCACCGCUAAAAGCCAUGGCGAUCUGGCCUGCGAGGGAGCUCCAGGAUUCACAGGGGCAGCAACAGACGAGAUAGUUCCAGUCCAAGUGCCAGCCGCAGUGGAAUACAAGGAAAGCCCCUUAUGCCUGCUGCAUCUAUGACAGGAAACUUUCCUCUGAUGGCUCUGAAGAGUCUCUGGUUCUUAGCCACAGCUGUGCAUGGGAGCCUGGCAGCCACGAUUCAGUGCCCCCCUCCUCUGCCUUCCCCAUAUGACGUUACUUUCCUCUUUCACUUCAGAAGUGCAUGCCCUGGUCUCUGUACCCAGGCAUUACUCAGAAACACAACCAUCCAGCAGAGAUUCCCAUGUGUUACCUGCCCUUGGAUAAUAUUCUCUUAGCCCAGGCCAAGGCUCUGUGUUCGAAACAGGACAGAUGAAUCAUUUAGUGGGAUCGCCAAGCAGCUGCCUCUAGAUUCUGUGGAACUCAAACAAGAUUGUCAUUAUUUCCAGAGAUGACUCUGCACCCCUAAAGCAAACAAGGAACUGAAGACAGUGAGGUGCACAGAGAUUUGGCCACUCAUAUGGUGGGGAGCAGACAGGGAGAGUUUUCUGAGGCUGGAGGGAGAGACAGUUCCUCAUGGGAACAGCACUUAUCACCUUGGAACAGACACCAGGCAUGGAACUACUCAGAGUGCAAUCUCACAAGGGGGAAGCCAGGGCAGGAAAUAGCACAAGGCACUGGGAGGAGGGGGGGGGCGUGACAACCCACAACACCCCUGACAAUCCUAACUUCUGAUUGGCUGAAGAUGAGCCUGAUGGCCACCUCUUCUCUGGCCAGGCCAGCAAAUCCUGGUCCCCACACACUGCAAGUUGCUGGAGAGGGUCUCGGAACUGCCUGUCCAAAGACAAAGACAGAGAAACCCCAAUAGAAAGAAUAACUCCCCGCCUCUCACCCAGCAGGCUCCUGGAUAGGGGUCUCACACUCAGUGCAGGGAGUCCUGGGGAGGCAACAUUGCCCCAAGGGGAAUGGAACUUUCAGACCACUCGGUAGGGACCCUCCCUCCCUGAUGGGGAUAGCAUGGGCAAGGGCUCUUGGGAAGUCAUCCGCUCUAUUGUUUAUUAGAGGAUACAAGAGAAAAAACAAGCCACAUCCCAUAUCAGCACAUCUGAAGGGAGGGGCCGCACAGUAAUGACCACCUCUGCUCUUUAAAUAUAGACAUGUCCAGAGACUGAAAUGUGUUUUCUUCCAUCAGCUGUAACUGCACAGCACAAAGCUGGGCAAAGGAGCCUGGUGACAGGAGUGAUGCUCAGGGCCAACCCUGCUGAAGGAAUCAGAGUGAAACAGGGAGGGGGAAAGGCUGGAGCCCAAGCGCAUAUCUGGGAAUAUCAGAGCCACAGCUCACAUCAGUUACUUCAACACUUUAUUGAUUAGUGAUUUGUACAGCUAUGUACAUGACAAAGUAAAGCCAGCCUGUGGGAAAGCCAUACAAGCAGCAACUUUCCAGCCUCUGUCAUGUUUUGCCUUCGUUGUCUCAUUGGAAUAAGCCACCAAGAAACCAACACAGGUAGGAGACUAUUUCCCCACCCCCAACUUGUAUCCCUGCCAAUCAUGCCUGUCUUUUAGCAUCAGAUCCAAGAAGCAGCCCCAAUCACUGGAGAAGAGGAAUGGCUCUGAUGCUCCUCCCUCGAUCAGCUGUCUCUGUCAUUGGCAGCUUAACUGGACACAUUCCCAGCUUCUGUAGGCUGCUUUCCCCAAACGGAUUCAUUCCUGAGUGUGCUGGUCACACUGGUUACGGUCAGCAACCCUCCAGCCCAGAAUGCUCACAUGCUACUGAGCCUAAGGGGACCCAGCUAUUGACUACCCUUGCAGCACAGCAUCUGGCAAACACACACCCGGAGCCACCAGCCCAAGUGGAUUAGCAGCAAGGGCCUGCUGCACCCAGCAUCUGGCAAUGCCCGUUUGCCUCUCUAGCACCACGUCCCUACUAAAGGAGACAAUCCCUGUAUCCCUUAUUGACGAUGUCAGGUGCACUGGCACCCAGAAACACAGGCUCAGAAGAGAUGUGGCUGGAAACUUCAGCAGGAACUGCCUGCCUGCCAAGUAGAAGUCAGCAACCCAAGGCCAAAGCAAGGCAGCUGCUCCUCAGCUCUAGACUGGACAGUUAUGUCAAAGAGCAAGGCUCUCGGCAUUGUAAGCUGUGCGUACUGCAGAAAGGCUGUUCCCAACACUCAGGGCCUUGCUCCCUCCCAGCCGAAUUUAGUAACAGGGGUAAGAAGGAUGAAGCCAGCUUUCCACGCCCACACCGAUGUGGGAACAGUCUACACCCAGAGCAAUCCCUUUAUCAGUUAUAGCCAUUACAAAGACAACCCCCACAGCUUUAAUCUUUUAACUCUCUAAGCACCCCACAGGUUGCAGGCUCCACAUUCAGUGCCAGGGAAAUGAAGAGAUGAAGGGAUCGAUGCCAGGUAACCGCUGCUAUUUAAAUUGUGUUUGUUUCUGUCUGUCCCCUGCACAUGUACCUAUUCUUCUGCAGAUGCAGAGCGAGUCACUCUUAUUCCAUCUAGGAAGGUUAUUUAUCCAAUUGCAAAUGACAGGAAAUAGCUGAGGACCUGACCAGCAGCAGCACUGCUCUUCAGACUCCACAGAGAAAGGGACAGCAGAGGAGAGGGAAUGUUUGGGGGCAUGGCCGAACUCAAACGAUCAUCUGAUGUGGGGGGGGGAGAAUGGGGGGCUACAUACACACUUUCUGCUCAUGCAGGUUUCCCAUUGGCAAGGGUGCAAGAAGGGAAGACUUCUUGUUAUCUGACUGCAACUCGGCACUCCUGGUCUCAGCAUUGUUUGAAAACUACUGCUCUGAUUUCCCUAUGCACAGAUCCGCCCUGAUCAUUAUCCCUACCCAGAAACAGCUAGAUUUAGGGCUGCACAGAGCACGGACCAACAUGUCCUGUCCGGCAGCAGCACCAGUUGUCGCUCUAGAAUGAGAGCCAUGACCACUGAGCCUGAGGCAGCUGAGCCGUCAGGGGCAAAAGAGAGGGGCACCUAGAAAAAGGUGACGAAGUCUCUCACAAGCCACCUCAGCGCAGAAUGAGCCAUGAAGGGCAACUGCCUCAAGUGCUGCCCAAUGCCAUCAACUCCUCCCCGUUAGUCUCCCCUGGGAAUGCUUGCACCCUACAUCACACCUGCCUAGUUCCCCUCACAGCCCCUGGACUCAAAGCCGCUACAUAGACGUGUGUCUGGGAGCGCACCUCGCCCGACUGGCAGCCAUCAUUUCAGGUUAAUUCUGGCUGCAUAGGCACCAGGUGCAUCUUGAGUGCUCUAGCAAAGCCAGUACCCCAGGCAAAGAGUUUACAAGAAAGACGGGCUGGGGGGUGCCAGGAAGCAGUUGCAACUCCCUCUUCAAACAGCUUUUCCCUUUACACAAGAACUCCAGCCAUUUGUAAGCCAUGUUUUGGCUCCUACCCGUGGAUAUUAGCAGGUGAAUUCAAACCGUCUACUGCAGACUGGGCACCUGAGUUGUGCAACUGCAAGCUGGCUGAUCAGUGCUUUGGUCAUUCUAGACCCCUUUCCUGGAAACCUCUCUGCUUCUGCACAAAGAUGACCAAACCCUUCCCAAUAACCUAACUCUGUUCCUUCAGGGUGGCACAUAUCAACCCAAGCACGUCAUCUUGCUGGGGCACUGCACAGGAUUGUGAAAUGAAUGUUCCACCUACCUCACAUCCUACAGAACAAGGCUUUUCCUGGGGGCUGUCAGAACUGUGAGGAGAAGAAAUGGCUGUUUAUUUGCUUAGAUCCAAAGUUACUGACUAUUCCCUCUGUGCAAAUAGAAGCUCAUUUCUUGGCCACAGCCCUACUAAACUGGGGAGUGCAGAAGGAGAGCCCAAUUUGCGUGGAGAAAGGAGACAGGACAAGACUAGUCACCCAGAAUGUCUGACUAGCCAUGGAAGCAAUUAGCAAUUGAUCUUUGAAUAUUCUGCAUACCCACUCUCUGCAUUCACUUUCAUUACUCAUGGUAGGUCAGGGAAGGAGCCUAGCUACCGAGGUUACCAGCUGCAGGCUUAAUACAAGUGUCUUGGGGGUCGAUGUCGCAUCAAAAGCCUUCACUGUACCCCAGACUCCUGCAGGUCCAUCUCCAGGUUCUCAGAGAUGUUCAGACCCCACUCCCAACAAGCAGAAAGACAAUCCCUGGCUUCAUGGAGGUGUGGGACCUUCACAUGCAAAAUGGAUCCAUACAACCUCACCGCUAUACUGAAGUGCCAGCAAAGAGAGCACACCCACCUCCAUCCAACCUGAAUUAGAAGCAGCGCCUGGUUUGCUCAGCUGUGCAGCGUGGGGAGUCACAGCACACCCCAUUCCAAGCCCACACACUGGGGAAUAAAGCUCUGAACCAGACCUUGACCUUUCUGCACUGCCUGUCAGGUACCUCCUCAGGGCAGCCAGGCUACAGACCAGUUUCUCCCUUCCACUAACUCCCAGAGGGGAACUUUCCUGUCCACUCAGGAGUUGCUAAUGCAGGAUGGAAAACAGAGUACCACCAGUGUGGUACAUGAUGCAGUCACAACUCUGCAGGGAAGGGGCUGUCAGCAGCACCCGCCACUGAGCUGCGUAUUCCCAAAGCUAACUAGAGUGUGUGGACUGCAUGGGGGAGGGGGCUCCUUCCUAGUGACUUUGAACUUGGCUGUGCUGACCACAAUGACACCGCUGCCUUCUCAGAAUGCAAACUGCUGACAUACACUGUUCUGCACAUGCCCACGCUCAAUGCUGUUCACCCUUUGCACCCAUUUGGUUAGCACCCAUUGGCAGCAAUUCAGGGCAGAGCCUGGCAAGCAACACUGCUCCAAAUGGUGCACUCCACACACUGGCUAACAGUCUUCUCCAGCAGGUGUUUGCUAAACCCAGUGAAGCGUUUGCAUUCCAGGGGUGGCAGUGCCUUACUGACAUGGCACAGUCAGCUCAUACCUCCUCAGGCACAGAGGUUUGGGCUGAUGGAGCUUUGCACAGACUGGGGCAAGCUGGCCAUGAGACCAAAUGCCUUGGUGCACAAAGGAAGAUGGGCUACAACUAGAAGGGCCAGUUUAUUAAAGAGAAACCUCACAUCCCAGAGAAUUCAAACACAUUUGGAAAGGGCCCAGCCCAGCUGAGUGGGCCCAUCUUCCACAGCAGCACAGUUCUAAACCCCCCCAAGCUUGGGCACCAGCCAGCACCAGGGGGAAGAAAGGAUCCACUAAUACAGCUUAUUAUGCUUGCAAAUAGCCUGAAAGAGUCAGU